rnacentral:rRNA from 1 species
GACGAACGCUGGCGGCGUGCUUAACACAUGCAAGUCGAACGGAAAGGCCCUUCUUUUGUGGGGUGCUCGAGUGGCGAACGGGUGAUUAACACGUGAGUAACCUGCCCUUGACUUUGGGAUAACUUCAGGAAACUUGGUCUAAUACCGGAUAGGAGCUCCUGCUGCAUGGUGGGGGUUGGAAAGUUUCGGCGGUUGGGGAUGGACUCGCGGCUUAUCAGCUUGUUGGUGGGGUAGUGGCUUACCAAGGCUUUGACGGGUAGCCGGCCUGAGAGGGUGACCGGCCACAUUGGGACUGAGAUACGGCCCAGACUCCUACGGGAGGCAGCAGUGGGGAAUAUUGCACAAUGGGCGGAAGCCUGAGGCAGCAACGCCGCGUGCGGGAUGACGGCCUUCGGGUUGUAAACCGCUUUCGCCUGUGACGAAGCGUGAGUGACGGUAAUGGGUAAAGAAGCACCGGCUAACUACGUG